rnacentral:rRNA from 1 species
UACGUAGGUGGCAAGCGUUGUCCGGAUUUAUUGGGCGUAAAGGGCGCGUAGGCGGCCUGCUAAGUCGAACGUGAAAUCCCCGGGCUCAACCCGGGAACUGCGUCCGAUACUGGUGGGCUUGAAUCCGGGAGAGGGAUGUGGAAUUCCAGGUGUAGCGGUGAAAUGCGUAGAUAUCUGGAGGAACACCGGUGGCGAAGGCGGCAUCCUGGACCGGUAUUGACGCUGAGGCGCGAAAGCCAGGGGAGCAAACGGG